UACGAAGGGGGCUAGCGUUGCUCGGAAUCACUGGGCGUAAAGCGCACGUAGGCGGAUUCUUAAGUCGGUGGUGAAAGCCUGGAGCUCAACUCCAGAACUGCCUUCGAUACUGGCGAUCUUGAGUCCGGAAGAGGUGAGUGGAACUCCUAGUGUAGAGGUGGAAUUCGUAGAUAUUAGGAAGAACACCAGUGGCGAAGGCGGCUCACUGGUCCGGUACUGACGCUG
rnacentral:rRNA from 1 species